CAGUAGCCACGGUAAUACGAAGGGGGCUAGCGUCGUUCGGAUUAACUGGGCGUAAAGGGCGCGUAGGCGGGUUUUUAAGUCAGAAGUGAAAUCCCAAGGCUCAACCUUGGAACUGCCUUUGAUACUGGAAGUCUUAAGUCCGGGAGAGGUGAGUGGAACUGCGAGUGUAGAGGUGAAAUUCGUAGAUAUUCGCAAGAACACCAGUGGCGAAGGCGGCUCACUGGCCCGGUACUGACGCUGAGGCGCGAAAGCGUGGGGAGCAAACAGGAUUAGAUACCCCAGUAGUCCCUGUCUCUUAUAC
rnacentral:rRNA from 1 species